rnacentral:rRNA from 1 species
CCUUCAGAAUGAGGAGGUAGUGACGAGAAAUAACGAGACCGUUCUCUAUGAGGCCGGUCAUCGGAAUGGGUACAAUCUAAACCCUUUAACGAGUAUCUAUGAGAGGGCAAGUCUGGUGCCAGCAGCCGCGGUAAUUCCAGCUCUCAAAAUGCAUAGAAUUAUUGCUGCGGUUAAAAAGCUCGUAGUUGGAUCUGUGCUAGAGACUUGGUCCACCUUCGGGUGCGUACUGAGCUCUCUUGCUUUUCUGCCGGUUUUCCCAGCAUGGCUUUAAUCGGCUGUGUUGGGUGGCUGGUGAUUUUACUUUGAACAAAUCAGAGUGCUUCAAACAGGCGUUUCGCUUGUAUGUUUUUGCAUGGAAUAAUAGAAGAGGAUUUCGGUUCUAUUUUAUUGGUUUUAUAGACCGAAAUAAUGGUUAACAGAGACGAACGGGGGCAUUAGUACUUUUGCGCUAGAGGUGAAAUUCUUGGACCGCAGAAAGACUAACUACAGCGAAAGCAUUUGCCAAGAACGUCUUCAUUAAUCAAGAACGAAAGUCAGAGGUUCGAAGGCGAUCAGAUACCGCCCUAGUUCUGACCGUAAACGAUGCCAACUAGCGAUCUGCCGGUGGAAUAUUCGCCCUGGUAGGGAGCUUCCCGGAAACGAAAGUCUUCCGGUUCCGGGGGAAGUAUGGUUGCAAAGCUGAAACUUAAAGGAAU